rnacentral:rRNA from 1 species
UACGUAGGGCGCAAGCGUUGUCCGGAAUUAUUGGGCGUAAAGAGCUCGUAGGUGGUGUGUCGCGUCUGCCGUGAAAGCCCGGGGCUUAACUCCGGGUCUGCGGUGGAUACGGGCAGACUAGAGGUAUGCAGGGGAGAACGGAAUUCCUGGUGUAGCGGUGAAAUGCGCAGAUAUCAGGAGGAACACCGGUGGCGAAGGCGGUUCUCUGGGCAUUACCUGACGCUGAGGAGCGAAAGUGUGGGGAGCGAACAGG